rnacentral:rRNA from 1 species
CCUACGGGAGACAGCAGUGGGGAAUAUUGCACAAUGGGGGGAACCCUGAUGCAGCGACGCCGCGUGAGUGAAGAAGUAUUUCGGUAUGUAAAGCUCUAUCAGCAGGGAAGAAAAUGACGGUACCUGAGUAAGAAGCCCCGGCUAACUACGUGCCAGCAGCCGCGGUAAUACGUAGGGGGCAAGCGUUAUCCGGAUUUACUGGGUGUAAAGGGAGCGUAGACGGCUGUGCAAGUCUGGAGUGAAAGGCGGGGGCUCAACCCCCGGACUGCUCUGGAAACUGUACGGCUGGAGUGCAGGAGAGGUAAGGGGAAUUCCUAGUGUAGCGGUGAAAUGCGUAGAUAUUAGGAGGAACACCAGUGGCGAAGGCGGCUUACUGGACUGUAACUGACGUUGAGGCUCGAAGGCGUGGGGAGCAAACAGGAUUAGAUACCCUAGUAGUC